rnacentral:rRNA from 1 species
CACGGAGGGUGCGAGCGUUAUCCGGAAUCACUGGGUUUAAAGGGUGCGCGGGCGGCCCGGUCAGUCAGGGGUGAAAUGCCGCCGCUCAACGGCGGGAGUGGCCUUGAUACUGCCGGGCUCGAAGGGGUGCGAGGCGUGCGGAACGCGGCAUGUAGCGGUGAAAUGCAUAGAUAUGCCGCAGAACACCGAUUGCGGAGGCAGCGCGCCAGAGCCCGCUUGACGCUGAGGCACGAAAGCGUGGGUAGCAAACAGG